GGCUACAUAUAUCUAUGGUUGUAAUGUCAUAAAAAUCAUCUCUUUGGUUUUGAUCGUAGUCAUUCGUGUUGAGGUUAAAAAUAGUAUUUAUUAAUAACUGUUAAAUAGGAUAAGUCAUUGUUCGGAGAGUAACCAGUGAACAGAGAUAUUGAAAUAUUUGAAAAUGGAUAAUAAUCAAGAAAUGACAAGUGGGUUUGAGAAGUGCCUGCGUAUGAUCUUGUCAGAUACAACAGAAGAGAUUGAUGUAGGCUGGUCAAAGCUGACCGAGUUUGAAAGGGCGUCUCACGAUUUGAAGUAUUUACUAAGAGACGGAGUUAUUCUGCGAAAAAUAUUGAACGGUCAAGUAUGGGUGUCAAACUACUACGAAAUCUCGCGUGUCAUGAAUUGGUUCGCAAAAUAUUUCACCGAGGAUACAUUCGAACGAGAUUCACUGACAAACGAUGUAGCAGUGUUUAUCAAAACUGCCGCAACAACGGAUAUCAACCUCUUGGUAUCAAUCAUCGAAGUACUCCUAGCCCAUGAUUGCUAUUUACCGAUGUCUGCCAAUCACAUAAAACUUUGUGAAGCAAUUGUCAUAUGUCUCGCUACCCUGCGGAUGCCAACCGAACCGAAGAAAAUAUUAGAAUUUAAUGAAAAUGCUGCCAAGAUACAAAAUUUUCUCAUGCAUUUAUGCUCAAACGAAAAAUGCCCUGAACGAGUCAAUUUGAUAAUCGCAUGCUUCGCUGUCUUUUAUGAUAUCAUAUCUGAUACGGCUAGAACUGAGGAGCCAGGAACAGCACUGGUCAUCAUACUACAACUGGUGGAUGCUUCCGUAAUCCCACAAGCCGUUCAAUGUAUCUUAUCCGAAUCAAGAGGAGAUCAGCAACUUGUUCAAGCGUUAAAAGUACUUUGUUCAUGGUCAACGAAAUGGCUUCGAGGCGAUCGACUUGGUAUCUGGGUCAUGGCAUUCAUACAAGAACUAGAAGCAAAACGAAAGUAUUCCAUAUUAAAAGAAGUAACAGAUGCUACUUUAGAACGACUUUUCAUUGCAUUACUUUUGCCAAUGGGAAGGCAAAAUUUAUCAUCAAUUGUGUUCUAUAUUUUGGAGAGACAAAGUACACCACGCUUAUUUCAUAAAAUAUCAAAAAGAAUCAAGACCAUGAUGCUGCACCUCAUGAAAGAUGACUCAGAUUUAGGAAAGGAAUGUGUCCAGAAUAUCGUUGACGUUUCUACUGCUCUUAUGAUUCGGUUUCCUGGUUAUGCAUUCUACAAUUGUCUGCAGGAUAGCCUGCCAGUCAAACCUCGUAUACUUACUGUUCAUGAGAUAGUUAGUGGUCCUGUAUGGAUGGAUGAGCUUGAAGAAAUUGAACCAGUUAGCAUUAAAUCAAAUUCUGGUAAAGUUGGUCUCACUAAUUUGGGAAAUACAUGCUAUAUGAACAGCGUCCUCCAAGCAUUGCUCAUGACUAGACAAUUCUGCCAUGAGGUGCUCAAUCGCAAGGUGGAAAAUUCUGAGGAACUUGCAGACCAACCUGUUCUUAAAAAACUUGAGAAUCUAUUCGCGCUGCUUCUGUACUCAAAGAGAGUCUCAUUGGCACCCAAUGAAAUAUUACUUGCAUCCCGACCUACAUACUUCAUGCCUGGACAACAGCAGGAUAGCUCUGAAUUUUUAUGUCACCUCUUGGACGUUUUGUACGAGCAAGAGAAAACAUCAACCAUCCGGUGUGCUGGCAGUGAGAUGAACAAUGAAGAAAAAUCUAAGGAUGAAGAACAGAUGAGUGGGGAAACAGAAGAAACAGGAAAUGGUGGGCCAGUUAUCAAACGUUGGACGACUGAAGAAGAUCUAACCGAAGGAAUUGUCUUGCAACGAAAGACGCAGUCAUUAGCUGAUUUCAGCCAGGGUGAAGAUUUGGCCCAAACUCAGCAGCUCAGUGACUCUCACUCCGAUUCUACAGAUAGUGGGAUUCAGUCUGUCGGGGGUGAGGAGGGAAGUUUGCAAGUAUUUCUCGUUCACAGGGUAUUUGGCGGAGAGUCAAAGAUUACGUAUCAAUGUGCUCAAUGCGAUACAAGCUCCCACAAUACGGAUAAAUUCCGAGACUUGCAACUUUGUUUUCCGGCAGAGGUACCUGAGAACCAAGAGGUUUCGGUACAGGAUCUGAUAAAUUAUUAUCUGACGCCAGAGAAGCUGACAGGAGAAAACAAAUACCGUUGCGACAAAUGUAUGAAGCUUUGCGACGCUCAGAGAAUGAUAAAAAUCCUGCAGGCUCCCUCGCACUUGAUACUUACUUUGAAACAUUUUCACUAUGACCUUGAAAGUCGUUUGCGUACUAAACUGAGACACAAAGUUAUGUACAAUGAGAGUAUACAGUUACCAGUGUUGUCGCAGUCCGGUAUUACAACAGAAACGUAUAAUUUAUACGCUGCAGUUGUACAUUCGGGCUACAGCAUGGAUUACGGUCAUUACUUUACGUAUGCCUGUGAUUCCAAAAACACCUGGUACAAAUUCAACGACAGUUUUGUACUGCACAGUACAUUGGAAGACUUCAAAUCCUUGGAGCCUCCUGACACACCUUACAUAUUAUUCUAUGCGAAAAGUCCGUCCGUGGACAGCGUACAGCUCGAAGACCUUCCAGAAUUAUCGACUUUGAACAAACGUGUACAGGAUUUGAUAGCUAUGGAUACGAUUGCCUACAUGGAUGAGUUGAAGCAUCAAGCUGAGCGGAAACGAAGUCAGCAUAAUCGGCAACCGAUGCCACUCCUCGGACGGCAGGACAAUUCUGAUGACGAAAACCCACCUCCAAGCAGUUGUCGAAGCGCUGUUGGUAUUCCAACCAACCGUUUUCUAUUUUGAGACAUACACUACCGGCAGAAAUUCUGGCUAAACCUGUCGAAAUUUCUUGGCGCACUAAAAGUUGGACGGCCGAAUAAAAAAACAAGAUAAUCGGAUUUUUGGAACGGCGUUCUCAAAAGCAUAGAUUCAACUUCAUUUCGGUAUUUUUUUUUUUCGAAUUCACGAUUUUUUCCGGUCACGGUACGAUUUUUCCAAUGUGGCCAUUUUCCGAAGUUUAUUGCGCUUUAAAUUUUUUCCGCAUAUUCCGUGGAGAAAAAUUUCAUUACUUUUUUUAUGAAAAAUUAUAAUUGGUUAAUAAUUAUAACAGGUGUGUCAAGAGCUUCUUUUUCAUUAUUAAAAAAGUGUCCUGCGAUUUUUUUCGCGCCGUUAUUGUAUUUUUUACGAAAAAAGAUGAGUUUUCGAAAUUGUGGCAUAAUCUAAGAACUUUGGGGUUUUGGAGAAAAUGACAAGGAGAUGAAAAGUUGCACGGGUUUACACUGGGAUGCCCGGAGUUUUUUCACAAUUUUUUGCGCAAUUUUUAUUUUUUCUUAUUGUUGGUCGGGACCCCGAUGAUUGAAGGGGCUUCAUUGAAAAUGAUGGAGUUGAGCAUAAUUUAGUAAGAAAGAAAAUUUAUUCAUUGUUUUAAUUUUUAUUUUUUUCUAGAGUUUUUGCCAAAAUUAUUGUAAUAAUUCUUAUAUAAUUUUUCGGAAAAUAAUCAUCACAAUUUAUCGAAUGAAGCUCGGAGAAUUAUCGUAAGUUGAGUUGAAGAUCAAGAGCUAACGGACUGGAGACAAAAAAAUACUCGGCUAAUAGAAAAAAAAUAGUCUUCCAAGUCUCUCACCGAGCAUAUAAUUCAUCGAUAUAUUCAUUAUUUCAAGACAAUGUCAGAGAUGGGCUUUCGGACGGAAAACUUGUAUCAAAAUGAAAUGAAAGACUUGCAGAUUGACAAUUUUUUUCAUCCAACCAAGUUUUUUUCUUCUUAAAUCCGAUAACCCUCAUAAGACUGAAGAACUGAACUGACGAAGAUUUGAGUUGAAUUCAGAAUUCCAUUCGAUAAAUUUUGAUAAUCAUAUCCCAAAGAAUUAUACGAGAAUUGUUGCAGUAAUUCUAGCAAUACCUAAUUAAAAAAAAAUCAUAAUUGAUCAAAAUUCGAAUAAUGAACAAAUUUUCUGUCUGACUGAAUCGUCCUCGACCCCAUCAUUCUCAAAUGGAGUACCUCCAAUCAACAGACUUCCGACCAAGAAUAAAAGAAAUUAGCGUGACAAAUUCUGAAGAAACUCCGGGCCAUCCCAGCGUGAACCCGUGCUACAACUUUUCAUCUCUUUGUCAUUUUCGCUCAAGCCCCAUAGUUCUUAGAUUAUGCCAUAAUUUCUUAAACUCACUUUUUUCGCCAAAAAUGGAAUGAAGAGUAGAAAAAGAUCGCAGGGAACUUUUAAAAAUAUGAGAAAAAAAUCUUGAAAAACCCGUUUAGUUUUUCAUAAAAAAAGUUUACGAAAUUUGUUUCCAAUCAAUAUGCGGCAAAUUUUCAGAGGGCGAUAAACUUUGGGAAGUGAUCACAUUGGAAGAAUCGUACCGAGACCAAAAAAAUCGUAAAGUAAGAUAAACAAAUAGCGAAAUGGAGCUGAAUCCUUCCGAUUAAUCUUAAAACAGUCAAUUGCCGAAGCGUAAUUCGGUAUUCGGUUACCGGAGCGCCGCAACAUCUGAAGCGACGUCGUCAGGAGCGACAUCGAUGGCAGCAUGCACAUCCUUGGAGAAAAGAGAAAAGGAGCUAGCAAGGAGGAAGAGAGAGUCAUACAUCGGGAGUUCAGUUUCCAGUUUUAAUUGAGUAAUAACUCGGGAAGUAGUGUUCGGUUUGAUCCACAUAUUUUGGAGAGGUGCUUAAUAAUCAGAAGCUACCGGAGGACCUAUGACAUUGGGAAUUUCGUGGAUUCCGGAACUCGGGAAUUUUUUCAUAAGCAGUGGUGAGCAAUGUCUUUCUCGUGACCAUCUUGUGUUGAUGCUUCCCAUCGGUCGGCGCUUUCUUCUCAUCAAAUUUGAAGUGAUGGUUAAUAUGAAAGUAUGAGAAUCAAAUUCUUUCAGCAGAGAUCGCUUCGAAUUAGCGCGUACAAUGUGAAAAUAAGUUUUUUUUAUAACUCGUUCCUUGAACCCAAGGAAAAUUGACUCUUUUUUUGAUUUUCUGAUGAUCGAACUUUUUUGUUUCUGGAGAUAAUUGGAUUUUUCCGGAGGGAAUCGCUUUUUUAUCGUACAUACAAUACUCGCCGAUUAAAAUUGUCGGAAUUCGGUACAAAUUCAAGGAAAAUCUGAGACCACAGGUUUGGCGUUAUCUCGGGAUGAAAAGAGAGAUGGGAUAUUGGCAUCUCCGGAGAAUCUCUCUCCUGCAUUAAGGAAUUGAGACUCAUUGCUGCCUCUGCAUGAUUGUUCACUAGAGUACCAAACAAAAAACCAAAUAUUAUUCAUGAUACAGACAUAGAUCACAUACUUUGUGAAUUUCUUAGAAUUGUCAUCCGAUAAAAAACCUCUUCGAAUUUUCA